AACGCAUAUUGCGCCCUCUGGCAUUCCGGAGGGCAUGCCUGUUCGAGCGUCGUUUUCAACCUUCAAGCUCUGCUUGGUGUUGGGCGCCUGUCUUCCUAGUGUAGACUCGCCUUAAAAUCAUCGGCGUCGUAGGAUCGAUAUGGAGCGCAGCAAAUCGUUGCUCCUGUUUGGUUCUGUCGGCUACCGAAAGCUUAUUUCAACGACUUGACCUCGGAUCAGGUAGGGAUACCCGCUGAACUUAA
rnacentral:misc_RNA from 1 species